rnacentral:misc_RNA from 1 species
CAGAUAUGCAGCAGCAAACAACCCCAACAUUCCAAUUACACAAAACAGCCAUGCCCAUAUUGUAGGUCCGUCCAAACUCCUACGUUUUCUUUCUUGCCAAUAUGCAAUUGUUGCUGCCAUGCCCUCCUUAGAACUUACCAUUGGGACGUAACCAAGUUCCUCUUUUGCUUUUAGGAAAGAGAAGUAAUGAGUGACACCAACCUUGUAGACUUCAGCAGGAAGGAUCAGAGGUUGAGGAAGCCACCUACUAUUCAACCAAGGAUACAGAAAGGAGUAGAAAGCCCAGAAAAUUCUUCCCAGAAGAAGUGCAUGAGAGACAGCUAGUGAUGUCUUUGGUAGAUCAUAAUCCAGGCUUUUCAGUAAAGGGCGAAGGAACUCGAAACUGUUGAUAGGAGAACCAUCUGAUAUAAAAUAAGGUUGACCAGCAGCAAUUGGAUG